UACGGAGGGAGCUAGCGUUAUUCGGAAUUACUGGGCGUAAAGCGCACGUAGGCGGCUUUGUAAGUUAGAGGUGAAAGCCCAGAGCUCAACUCUGGAACUGCCUUUAAGACUGCAUCGCUUGAAUCCAGGAGAGGUGAGUGGAACUCCGAGUGUAGAGGUGAAAUUCGUAGAUAUUCGGAAGAACACCAGUGGCGAAGGCGGCUCACUGGACUGGUAUUGACGCUGAGGUGCGAAAGCGUGGGGAGCAAACAGG
rnacentral:rRNA from 1 species